UACGUAGGUGGCAAGCGUUGUCCGGAUUUAUUGGGCGUAAAGCGAGCGCAGGCGGUCAAUUAAGUCUGAUGUGAAAGCCCCCGGCUCAACCGGGGAGGGUCAUUGGAAACUGGUUGACUUGAGUGCAGAAGAGGAGAGUGGAAUUCCAUGUGUAGCGGUGAAAUGCGUAGAUAUAUGGAGGAACACCAGUGGCGAAGGCGACUCUCUGGUCUGUAACUGACGCUGAGGCUCGAAAGCGUGGGUAGCAAAC
rnacentral:rRNA from 2 species